rnacentral:rRNA from 1 species
CAGUAGCCGCGGUAAUACGGAGGGGGCUAGCGUUAUUCGGAAUUACUGGGCGUAAAGCGCACGUAGGCAGCUUCGCAAGUCAGAGGUGAAAGCCUGGGGCUCAACUCCAGAAUUGCCUUUGAGACUGCGUCGCUCGAAUCCGGGAGAGGUGAGUGGAAUUCCGAGUGUAGAGGUGAAAUUCGUAGAUAUUCGGAAGAACACCAGUGGCGAAGGCGGCUCACUGGACCGGCAUUGACGCUGAGGUGCGAAAGCGUGGGGAGCAAACAGGAUUAGAUACCCCGGUAGUCCCUGUCUCUUAUAC